UUUAUUCCGUUUGGGAGACUAAUUCUGAUACCUUCACCCGUCAACUUUCCCCUUUUCUCCCGUCUUUCAAAUGCCUUUCGACUUCACCUCCAAACUCUCCCUCUGACUCCAAGACCUGAAUAUGGGACUCUCACCAGCACCUCCUCACCGCCACUGCGUCUCCCUUACCAAGAUUCCUUGCCCGUAGUUAUCUCCGUUUUUCCAAAUGCUCAGGAUCCCAGCUCCAACCCCUCACCCCUUUUCCAGAACACUAGAGCCCCGAAUUCAACCCGUCCGGGAGACUCGAAUUGUCCUAAUCUCCAGAUUUCCUGCCCCAAAAGUUCCUUCCUCGGUCCUCUCGCUUCUCCAAACACCCCAUGUCCCAGCUUCAAACUCCCUCCACUUGAAGAUCUUGCCCCAACAACUUCGCCUUCAGUCCGGGAUCUCGAUUUCAGUCUCGAAGCCCCACCAACCCUAUCAGUCACCCUUAUCUGCGCCCCCGACUCACGCCCAGACCCCGCCUCCACGACUCUCGGGGGGCGCGCCUCCACCUUCCCUAAACUAAGGCAAAUCUCAAGCCAGGUGGACUCUCUCACCUCAGCUGCCAGGUUCGCAAUGACCAAGUCGUGGAACGUCCGUAGCUUUUACAACCCAACAGUGCUGGGUACGAGCCUCGCUCACCUCCCCAGGGCCUCUUGGUUUGGCCUCCGGCCCACCCCGCUCCGCCCAGGAGCCGAACCGCGAGCCGCGAUUGGCUGGAGCCCUGCCCGCUGCGGGGCGCGGAUUGGCUGGGUGGAGCCACCGGUCCGUCGCCAGGAGACACCCGGCCGGCCCUCCCUUUCCUUACACCCCGGACCUUUUAAAGGAUUCCGACUCGCCCGGGGGAGGGGCCACGUCUCUAGGGUGGAGGGUGGCGGGGACGUCAGAACUGUUUCCUUCAAUUCAGCCACUGUCCUCGCUCCAAAGUCGUCAACAUUGAUCUCUGCGAUGCCUUUAUACCAGGUGAGGACCCUGUCGGGGAGCGAGGCUGGUCGGCACGCCCCUCCCCACCCUCUUUUCCAGGCGGGCGGGGCUGAGCCACUCGCGGAGGCCGCGCCCCCGGGGUUCCGAGGGCGGACGCUGCGGGGCGGAGGAUGA
rnacentral:lncRNA from 1 species